CCGUAAAAGUAAACCAUCAAGAAAACAUUGACUCGUUCAAUAGUAUCGUGAUUAAAAGACAAAAAAUUGUUUUAAAAAAAUGCUUAGAGACAUUAAAUCAUGCUGAAAUUACGUUAAUGAGUUGUGCAACAGUUAAUCCUUUGAUGAAGAAAGGGGAUAACACAUUUCGGUAGUCGAAUUGUUAAGAAAAUAAAAGACAAAUCAAAAGUGCACUCGUUUUGAGACAUUACAUUUCCCGUUCAAGUUUUUGUUCGACGAGUGAAAAAAAAACAGCCAUAAAUUUUGGCAAAUCAGUUUUUUGUCCAAUUGUUUAAACUCGGUCUGUGCUCUUUCGCGUUACGUUGUGUGUUGUAAUUCGUUUCACAUAAAGUGAAAUGAAUUAAAUGUAUCGCUGAGCUGCCUUUUUUUUCUCAUUCGAACUACCUAUUUGAACAACAAAAUGUACUUAAAUCAAAACUAAACUCGCUUUCUGCGUUUUCGGUGUGUAUAAUUUUGUGUGUGGCUGCUGCAUACAGUUUUCAGUUUAUAAGCAUUACAAAACGUGUGGUGUGCUAUCGUCCGAAAAACGACAUUAUGAUGAAUUAAAAAUACAUUUAAUUAGGUGUUACAACAGCAACUAAAAUAAUCGGUAUAAAUUUGCUGUGAUUUGUGAUAUAAUCAAUUGAUGUGAUCGAUUUUGUCAAAGGAACUGAAGGCAGAAAAAUAUGGGUUAUGAAUUAACACGAUUCCAGGGGGAGGUAGACGAAGAACUGAUAUGUCCAAUCUGUUCGGGAGUCUUAGAAGAACCAGUUCAGGCAAUUGUAUGUGAACAUGCGUUUUGUCGCGCUUGUAUCACCGAGUGGCUGAGUCGACAGCCAACGUGUCCUGUUGAUCGAAAUGCCAUGACACAGGCAAAUUUGCGUGCCGUACCUAGAAUUUUAAGGAAUCUACUUUCAAGACUAAGCAUAGCCUGUGAUAACGAGAUGUACGGCUGUACGCUAGUCUUAAAACUAGACGCACUAGCGAAUCAUUUAGAUGAAUGCGAGCACAAUCCAAAAAGACCGCUGCCAUGUGAAAAGGGUUGCGGUUUCGUGAUUCCAAAGGAUGAAUACAAAGAGCACAAUUGCGUGCGCGAAUUGCGUGCGUUGAUCCAUACACAGCAACAGAAAUUAAGCGAUGUCAAAAACAAAAUCAGCGACCAGACCUUGACAAUAAAUGAGCUGAAACGCGAGUUGCAACUGUUCAAAGAUUUUAUGCGAGCCAUGCGUGGCUCGAAUCCAGCGAUGCGAGCCAUUGCUGAUCAAAUGGAACGUGAUGAAGUUGUCCGAUGGAGUAGUUCAUUGGCACGGGCUAGAGUCACUAGAUGGGGAGGUAUGAUAUCCACUCCAGAUGAUGCUUUACAGAUGAUGAUAAAGCGAGCCCUCUCCGAAUCCGGAUGUCCGCCACAUAUUUUGGACGAUUUGAUGGAAAAUUGUCAUGAACGUCGAUGGCCCCGCGGUUUGAGUUCAUUGGAAACACGUCAGGACAAUCGGCGCAUUUAUGAUAAUUAUGUUUGUCGACGCAUUCCUGGUAAACAGGCUGUACUAGUUUUGAGCUGCGACAACGGUCACAUGGCUGAAGAUGUAAUGGUUGAACCAGGUCUGGUGAUGAUAUUUGCCCAUGGAGUUUCCGAGUAAGUUCUACAUUGGAUUUGUGUGUUAUACUGUGGAGCCACGUAUUUAUGGAUGUCGAUUCGAGAGCUGCCCGGACCAUUCCCAUGCUCAUACACCGUACGCCCACAACAACAGCAACAAUACACCAGAUUCACAUCGUGACAUAUAAUUGAAUUGAGACUUUAAAUAAGUGUUAAGAUCGUUCGACGAACAUUUAUUAUGAUUUUACAUGGCUCUCCCGCUUAGUAUGUAUAAAUUUGUCCCGUAAAAUGAUCUCAAUUAAGUUUUAAAACUCGAAUGAUUUAAACUAAGGUGUACACAUUAAGCAUAUGAAUGGAAACUUUUAUCUAUGACUGUUAGAUAAAGAAGAAUAUAAGAGCUUUUGUUUAAACAAUCCAAUUGUUAUUGAUUUCAUUUGAUUUUUUUUAUUUUUUUUUUAUUAAUAAUAUUAUUGUGUGGCGUUGUUUAAUUUGCGCUGACACAAUUUUCCAAUGUUUUCUGAAAACAAUAAAGUGAAACAAACAGAAACAUAAUACUUCACUGAAGAAAUUUUAUGUUCAGGACUAAAAGGAGUUUUUGAAAGAGGGAGAGAGAGAGAGAAAGUGAGUUAUUAGAAACAAAAA